rnacentral:lncRNA from 1 species
AACUGAUUGAAAGAUUAUGUCUUCAUCAUAUGAAUAUCAGGUACAAUCCCUCCCGUUAGGGGUUUAGUAUCAUACUAUCAUAAAAUAUAUGAGAAGAACAUAACCCGUGUCAUGCCAACAACUGUUUUUUUAGAAAUAAAUGUGUUUAGUUCCGAUGCAAAGACCCUAUCAGUGAAUCAAUGUUAAAGCCAAAAUAUGCAA